AACGCGAAGAACCUUACCUGGACUUGACAUGCAGGUGAUAUGACUAGAGAUAGUCAGUUCUCGCAAGAGACAGCUGCACAGGUGCUGCAUGGCUGUCGUCAGCUCGUGCCGUGAGGUGUUGGGUUAAGUCCCGCAACGAGCGCAACCCUUGUCGUUAGUUGCCAGCGCGUAAUGGCGGGCACUCUAGCGAGACUGCCCGGGUUAACCGGGAGGAAGGUGAGGAUGACGUCAAGUCCGCAUGGCCUUUAUGUCCAGGGCUACACACGUGCUACAAUGGUCGGUACAGAGGGCAGCAAAACCGUGAGGUGGAGCAAAUCGUUAAAAACCGGCCCCAGUUCGGAUUGUAGUCUGCAACUCGACUACAUGAAGAUGGAAUUGCUAGUAAUGGCGGGUCAGCAACACCGCCGUGAAUACGUUCCCGGGCCUUGUACACACCGACGCGUA
rnacentral:rRNA from 1 species